rnacentral:rRNA from 1 species
AGUCUCUUGUGAAAUCCUAUGGCUUAACCAUAGAACUGCUUGGGAAACUGAUAAUCUAGAGUGAGGGAGAGGCAGAUGGAAUUGGUGGUGUAGGGGUAAAAUCCGUAGAGAUCACCAGGAAUACCCAUUGCGAAGGCGAUCUGCUGGAACUCAACUGACGCUAAUGCGUGAAAGCGUGGGGAGCAAACAGGAUUAGAUACCCUGGUAGUCCACGCCCUAAACGAUGUAUACUAGUUGUUGCUAAGCUAGUCUUGGCAGUAAUGCACCUAACGGAUUAAGUAUACCGCCUGGGGAGUACGGUCGCAAGAUUAAAACUCAAAGGAAUAGACGGGGACCCGCACAAGCGGUGGAGCAUGUGGUUUAAUUCGAAGAUACGCGAAGAACCUUACCCGGACUUGAUAUCUAACAAAUCAUCUAGAGAUAGAAGAGUGUCUGCUUGCAGAAAUGUUAAGACAGGUGCUGCACGGCUGUCGUCAGCUCGUGUCGUGAG